GACGAACGCUGGCGGCGUGCUUAACACAUGCAAGUCGAACGAUGAAGUUCGGACGGAGGCUUCGGCCAACUGAAGAACGGAUUAGUGGCGGACGGGUGAGUAACGCGUGAGUAACCUGCCUUUCAGAGGGGAAUAACAUUUGGAAACGAAUGGUAAUACCGCAUAAAGUCACGGAACCGCAUGAUUCUGUGACCAAAGGAGCAAUCCGCUGAAAGAUGGACUCGCGUCCGAUUAGCUAGUUGGAGAGGUAACGGCUCCCCAAGGCGACGAUCGGUAGCCGGCCUGAGAGGGUGAACGGCCACAUUGGGACUGAGACACGGCCCAGACUCCUACGGGAGGCAGCAGUGGGGAAUAUUGCACAAUGGAGGAAACUCUGAUGCAGCGACGCCGCGUGAGGGAAGAAGGUUUUCGGAUUGUAAACCUCUGUCCUUGGUGACGAUAAUGACGGUAGCCAAGGAGGAAGCUCCGGCUAACACGUG
rnacentral:rRNA from 1 species